rnacentral:rRNA from 2 species
CUCGUAGUUGGAUUUCUGGUGGGAGCGACCGGUCCGGCGCUUAGCGCGGGUACUUGCGUCGUCUCCGGCCAUCCUUGGGGAGAGUUUGUCUGGCAUUAAGUUGUCGGGCAGAGGAUCCUCAUCGUUUACUGUGAAAAAAUUAGAGUGUUCAAAGCAGGCUUAUGCCGUUGAAUAUAUUAGCAUGGAAUAAUAAGAUAGGACUUUGGUACUAUUUUGUUGGUUUGCGCACCAAAGUAAUGAUUAAUAGGGACAGUUGGGGGUAUUCGUAUUCCGUUGUCAGAGGUGAAAUUCUUGGAUUUACGGAAGACGAACUACUGCGAAAGCAUUUACCAA